UGGUGACUAUUACCAAGAAUCUUCUUGCUCUGAGGCCCCUGAGCUUUGCUUAAAAGGGCGGGACAGGGCUGUGGGUGACUCGAGGGCCUGUAGCCACUAGGGGACACUGUGGGACUGUCUCUGGGCAGGCAAAGGGGGCAGGAGGAGCCUGGGGGUCUCAGGGGGGAUGAGCCCAGCUGCCUGUGUCUGUGGCUGCUCUGACCCCGGGAUCCCUCAUGGGUGACGUCUCAGCUGGGCUGGGCAAGGGCUUUCACUGCUCCAUCCCCUCCCCCUGGGAGACACGCCUUCCCUGUGGGACCUGGGACCCCACAUUUAGGGCCUAGGCUGCUUCAGAAGACCCAGAUUUGCAUCCAGCCCCCGCCCCCUCCCAGCCCCCUCCCAGGCUCCCAGGGAGAGGAUAAGAGGGGCCUGGCAGAGCCCGGACCCAGCUGGUUCUCUCUGGGGAGCAGAGCUCUCGGGGUCCCCUGCACCAUGGCCUGGCCUCUCAUCUGCCUCCUCCUGCUCACCUGCUGCUCAGGUUCCUUCUCCCAGCCUGUGCUGACUCAGUCUCCCUCCAUGUCUGUGUCCCUGGGAGCCACGGCCAGACUCUCCUGCACCCUCAGCAGUCAGCACAAAGGGUACACUAUUCGUUGGCACCAGCAGAGCCCGGGAAAGGCCCCCAGAUUUGUCAUGAGGGUGAACAGUGAUGGAAGUGUGAGCAAAGGUGAUGGGGUACCCGACCGCUUCUCGGGCUCCAGCUCUGGGGCCAAUCGCUACUUGUCCAUCAGCGACAUCCGGCCUGAGGAGGAGGACGAUUAUUACUGUGGGGCAAAUUAUAAGAAUGAUGGUAACUAUGGUUAACACAGUGCUACAUUCAGUGGGGAAGUGGGACAAAAACCCCUUGCCAGCCCAGCCCCCCACAGCUGGCCCCGACUUCUGGCGCAGCCCCAGCUGCUAAAGGGCCCUGCGGUUGUGCUUCCUGUUUCUCUGUCUCAGGCUCAGAGCCCAAUGUCCAGGACCUGCCCAAGAGCACAGUGAGAUAAGUCUCAGAAAUAGAUCAUUUGUCCCCCCAUGACCAGCACUUCCCCCCCUUCCCAAACUACUUCCCAGGACACUGACUCCAGGGCAGGGCUUUAGCUGAGCCUUCAGGCUUUAGCUGGUGGAGGGGGGGGAGGGGCCCUGCCUCCCUGAGGCUGCCAUGGCCGGGCCCUUGUCAAGUAAAGGUUCUUUGAGGUUUCCAUUGGCUCCCACAAAUGACACGCCCACAUAAUUCUACAAAGAGAUUUAAUAAAGACACUCAAAGCAAAGACAAAACUAUAUAAACCACCUGUUUAUAUCCUUCAACAAUAUAUCAGUUGGGGAAUGACUUGAAUUCUUAUCGAUCUGACUUCAUUCUCUCUAUUUAUUUUUAAAUGAGGCCUUUGUCAGAAACAUUUUUUGUAAAAUUGGUUUCCCCGUUUUCUGCUUCCCUUUUAAUUUUGAUUGAAUUGGCUUUGCUUGUCCAAAAAAAAAUUAUUUUCAUGUAACCAAAAUUAUUCAUGUUUUGUGUCCUAAUGUUCUCUGUCUCUUGUUUAGCCAUAAGUUUCUCCCUUCUCCAAAGAUGUGAUGGAUAAACAAUUCUUUGUUUUCCUUAUUUACUUUGUAUAGAAUCUUUUAGGUCUAAAUCAGGAAUCCAUUUUGACCUUAUCUUGGUAUGGGAUGUGAAUCACUGGUCCAUGCCUCAUUUCUGCAAUACUCUUUCCCACUUUUCCCAGCAGUUUUUGCCAAAUAGUGAGCUAUUAACCAAGAAGCUGGAGGUUGGGGAGUUAUCAAAGAGUAGAUUACCAUGGAUACAUGCCUUGUGUACCUUACCUAGUUCACUAAUCCACCACUCUUUUUUCUUAGUACCAAAUGGUACUAAUGCCACUUAUAAUACAGGUUUAGAUAUGGCAUGAUUAAGGUACCAUCCUAUGCAUUUUUUUUUCAUUAAUUCCUUUGAUAUUCUUGACCUUUUUAAUUAAAUCUUGCUUGCAUUCACCUUCAUAGCAUUUCUUGUAUAUACCUACUUUUUUUCCCUGGCACCGCUACCACCCUGGUAGAGACUCUCAUCACUUCAUACUUGGACUUCUACAAUAGCCUGUUAGUUGCCUCAACUCUUUGCUUCAAAUCCAUUCCCACUCCAGUCCAUCCUCCAUGCUGCUACCCAAAUCAUCAUUCUAAAGUGCAAGUCUCCUCUAUUUAAUAAACUCUUGUGUCUCUUCAGUAUCUACAAGAUCAGACAUAACAUUCUCAUUUUAAAUCCCUUAAUAACCCCCAAUCAAAUACCAAACUUGAAAUUCUAAAAAUAAAAGAUAAAUUAAUAAAUUAAUAGUGUGUGCUAUUAGCUUGGCAACUUGAAAACUUGCUCACAGUGAUGAAAUAUUUAGCUGCUUCUGCUUCAUAAAAGUAUUUUGCUGACUUGUCAAUGUAUUUUUCAGUUUUAAUAUUUUAUCUUUUCUCACUUCUCCAAACAAACAAUCAUAUUUAUCUUUAUGUUGAGUUUCAUAGUGUUCACGCAAAUUAUAUUCUUUGAACAUAGAAUAUAGUGUCUGGUAUAUCAGACAUCCAGCUGUCUCCUUGUACUGCAUGGAAAAGUAAUCCUAAGUCCACUGUUCUUUGAAUAUCCUACACUCUGAGUCAAGUUUUCUUUUUCUUGACAUCAUUAUUUCCUAGGCAUUCCAAAUUGCUUUUAGUAAAAUACCAAUAUACAUAUACAGCGCCACAAAAACAAUAUACCAGCAAUAACUUUGCCCACACAGAGAGAUACAGACUGUAAUGCCCAACUUCCUCCAAGCUGCCUCUGUGCUGUGAUGCCUCUGUUUCUCUACUCUCUCUCUCAUCUUCACACACCCACUUCUGAUCUUCACUGCUGCAGUGAAUUCCCCCUGCAGCGGCCGUGACAUGCACAGCAUGCACUCUACAUCCCCUGCGUCUGUCUCUUGUGGUGGCUGUUGUUACUGUACAAGGCUGCAGGCUGUCAGUUCUCCAUCUUCUGCAACUCUCUCCCUUCCCCACACCACACACCCCAGCCUGGGAACUCACCUCACCUUGGUAUCACCUCACACUCUGUCUCUGCAGCCUCAGCCCAGGGCCGGAAGUGUGCAUUGCUAACACGAGUUUAGAUCCAACGUCACUUCCGGUCUGAUUUUGCCAUAACCCGGUGGGCCACAUAAACAUCCUCAGAGGGCCGCAUCUGGCCCGUCAGCUGUAGUUUGAGAACCCCUGGUCUAGCUCAUGGGGAUGGUUUCAGCCACACACAACGGCCAUGCUCCUGCAUCCCCCCUUCCAAAGCACAAGGGGCUGUGGGAUGCUACAGAAUCCCCUGGUGAUGUCCAAGUGUCUGUCAGGAAGUGAGCUAAGCCCCCAUUACACCUAUCAGCAUGAAGGGUACCUGUUAAGAGACAGGUCAGUUCUCUGGGAGCCUCCCCAGCUGUGGAUCACAGUAUAUGAAAAAGUUGCAGGGCAGCCUUUGCUGACACAGGUGUUGGCGACUGGGAA